AGUGAACGCUGGCGGUAGGCCUAACACAUGCAAGUCGAACGGCAGCACAGUAAGAGCUUGCUCUUACGGGUGGCGAGUGGCGGACGGGUGAGGAAUACAUCGGAAUCUACUUUUUCGUGGGGGAUAACGUAGGGAAACUUACGCUAAUACCGCAUACGACCUACGGGUGAAAGCAGGGGAUCUUCGGACCUUGCGCGAUUGAAUGAGCCGAUGUCGGAUUAGCUAGUUGGCGGGGUAAAGGCCCACCAAGGCGACGAUCCGUAGCUGGUCUGAGAGUAUGAUCAGCAACACUGGAACGGAGACACGGUCCAGACUCCUACGGGAGGCAGCAGUGGGGAAUAUUGGACAAUGGGCGCAAGCCUGAUCCAGCCAUACCGCGUGGGUGAAGAAGGCUUUCGGGUUGUAAAGCCCUUUUGUUGGGAAAGAAAAGCAGCAGGUUAAUACCCCGCUGUUCUGACGGUACCCAAAGAAUAAGCACCGGCUAACUUCGUG
rnacentral:rRNA from 1 species